rnacentral:lncRNA from 1 species
AGAAUAAAGAGUUAUCUGGUGAAACGCUCCUCUGGUGUACCUGGUGGCUCCACUCAUCCACCUCUCCCAGCCUACAGCAUUUCCAACCCAACGAGAACAGCCGGUGUGGAGAGCGACUUAUUGGAUUGGAUCUCACCCAGCAGCGACUUAUAUGCUCAACCUAUAUGUCACAGAUGGUAGGAUUUCACUGUGGUUGAUAUAGGAAAUCCACUAAGGAGUAUUGAUCUUUCUAAGAUCUGCUCUCUCUGCCUGAUCUCCACAGGAUCUGAACAUCCGCAGAGACCUGGAGGGGAGCAGAGCCGCUGGAAUCGAAGUCUACCUUUCAUUGUAAAGACACACAAGUCUCACUACAGGAGAAGUCUCACUCAGGAAGUAUCGCGAGAGGUGAGCUGAUUCAAGAAGACGACUGUGGACAUGUGAGUCAGGACGCAGGAGAGAGAAGGCUGGAGAAGAACCGCCAGCAAGAAUUCAUUUCUACCGUCAUGGCUGACUAAUCGAGAUGAGAACACUCACCUUGUAGGACUUCUAUGUGAGCGAGACUUUUGUUUCUGGCUACAAAAAGGACGAUAUUAUUUGACAAAAGGUUUGAUUCUGUAGAAACUGUUUCCAUAAUGUUUUCAGACAUUUAAAAUAACAACCAUAAACCUGUGAGAGGUAAAAAUAAGCACCUCUUCUUCUCUUCUUGUUGCUUUUUUUCUCCUUUCUCAUUUUUAAUGGCCACAACAAGUUAAAUCAUCUGGCAAUUUGACAUAAAAAAUGUCUGGAAAAGUAACAUUUCAUCUGUAACAGAAACGCGUUCUGGUAAUAAUUUCACAAAUUGUCCGAUUUGCUGUUCGAUCUUGUAGCAGAUCAAAUUAAUUCAUCUACACAUGUACUGGGACACCACAGCUUGAUUUAAAAGAAGGUUUAUGUUUGUUCCUGUGUUACGUUUAUAUAAUAAGAACACUGAUGUUGUGUGAUAGUAAAGUUCAUAUUUAUAUAAUGUUUAUUUACUGUAUCAAAGUUCUCAUUCGUUCAUCAAUCGUUGUGUUGCUACAGAUGAUUUGACAGAAUCUGGUCAAUCAUUUUAAGGUUUUUGAUAUUUAUUAUCAUUCUGUCACAUACUGUUAAUUUCUCACAGCCUAAAGAGUGAAUUGUGAAAGCAUUUCUCCAAGAAGCUGUGAGAAAAAGAAAGUAUGAAAGUGAUUUAUUGUUGAUGAUUUGACAGUGUUUGGUCAGUGAUGAGCUCUCGGUCUGUCCUGCAGUUUAUGUAUUUUACCAGGUGAACCAGCAGAGGGCGCCACAGAUAAUCAAAUCUAUUAAAACAGCAGUUCAUCUGAGAUCCAGCAGGAUGUUUCUUCUUCUUUAAUUAACAGAAUUCAGCUUUGUUGCGACGUUUUUCCUCAGACAAAUACCUUAAUAAGAAUCCAGCAUUUUCAUAUGAUUUGAUUUUAACUUCAUAGUUUGCUACAUUAAACAUUAUUUACAUUUUCUAUAUACAUAUUUUGGACUCAAUGUCAGAUCAUUACAUAAUGUUUGUAUAUAAUAAACUGCUUGUUUAUUUAGGUGCAUCUCAUUAGAUUAUAACAGAUUUCUGUAAUUAUAAUCUUACAGAUCUACAAGGUCACAAAAGAAGUCAACCGCCGUCUGAUU